GGGCCUACUUUUUUGUCCAAUUUUAAGUAAUGGUUUGUUUAGAAAUUCAUAAACUAAGAACUAGGGAAAAUAGGUUUUUUUUUCCUAUGGUUUUAGAAUCUAUGUUUCUUCUACAAUCUAACUGAGCCUUGAUUACUUUUUUGGCUAUCCACUCCAUCUUUUCUCUCACUAAUUUGUGGUUCAUAUUAUCUAAUGAAGAAUGGCAUUACCCUUAAACCUAACAUUAGUGAGGUUUGUGGUUCAUGUUACGAAGAAUGUUAUCCAAUUUGUGGUUCAUCUUUUCUCUCACUAAUUUGUGGUUCAUGUUAUCUAAAAAGCAGCUCAAGCAACUAUUAGUGAGGUCUAAUGCAUUUCGUAUCCUAUUCUGCUUGUAGUGCACAGUCGUCUCCCAGCUCUGGAAAAGGAAGUGGUUAUGGAUUUGCUGACAAGGUUAGCCUCUGUCAUGUGCUGUUGACUUUCACUACUUGCCUCUCGGGCAGGUUAUGUAGCAUUUAAGGACAUAAUUACCUUAAACUUAAGUAUGGUUUAUGACUUGAUUGAUUUAUUUCGAGUAAACAAGUCCAUGUAGCCAUUCCAAUUACUUAUGCCAAAUGCUUAUUUAGUUGAGUGAUUAAGUGUGUUAAAUCUUGCAAUAACUAAUCUUAGGAAUGUGAUUUAUUUUGAUGUGUUAUGUGUCAUGGAAUUCGGAAAUGGAUGGGAUUUUUCCGGUAUUCCUUUCGUUCACCAUCUUAGGAUUCUUAGCAAGGGCAAAACAUUCAUAACCAUUAGUUACCGAUUAAGUGUGUGAGUGUAUUUGUAUCUGUGUGAGAGAGAGAGGUAUUGAUGGUGCAAGGCUUAUGAAAGGGUACUAGCCAUUAGUUACUUGUGUUCAUUCCAUAUGUGUGGCUUGCUAUACUAUUUUUAACCCCCUCGGUUCUGUAACCUGUUUAUGUUAUUAUUUUUAGUCUGCAAAAAAAAAGGAAAAAAAACGAUAAUUAGUAGAACGAGCUUAAGGUGGGACCUCUUGUGAUUCUGUGCUUCUUACCAUCUUCUGGUACUUAGAGCUUGGAUUAGCUUAGGGUUUCUCACUGUUAUUAUAACAAAGACAUCACAUAUAUUGAGAAUUGUUUUUCCUUUGAGUGAUGUUUCCUACUUCCUGUUGCCCUUCAUUGAUUUAUGAACUGCGCUCUGUUUGACCUUUUUUUGUCAGAUUGCUGAUUGAAUGGCAGUAUAAGUGCAUACUGUAAAUAUACUAAUAGAAGUCUUCCAUUGUACUCUUUUGGACACAUUGUUUAUUGAAUAUUUAGGCAUUUGAUCUUUGAUUGAACUUGAGUGCAAAGCAAUGCAUUGUCACUUAUCGAAUGAUCCCCUCUUCCUAUAAGAUGACAAAACUUGGUCCUCAUGCUCAAUGUCCUACUCCCUAGAUGGGUCAAUGUAUCAUCGGCGAGUCAAUUACUGGCAGCACUCUUGUGGCUUAGUCUGAGCAGCUACCUCAACAAAGCUUAGUGAUUGUCAUGAGGCACGAAUUCAAUCAGCAAGAUGGUCUUCCCAAGUUUGGAAAGCACAAAGCAGUUCAAAUUAUUUGUAGUUUACGCCCUGUAUCAGUUUUUCAUUCAAUGAAUUAAGCUAUCGCAAUGGGAAAAGAAUUGGAAUUGUAGCCUUUGACGAUGUCAAUUAACGGAUAACUCAACGGGCAUGACAGACGUGCAAGGCACGUCGCCAUGCACCUAGUGUUCACAAACAUACUUAUCGAAGUCCAAUCCAAACCCUAUGGACUGAAUUCCCAUCAA